UUGUGAAAUUACAAAGAAAGAAUUGGAGGACAGUCAAGAAAGCAAUAGCGAGAAAGGUCCCGAUAUAAUUCCACUGUCAAUUGAAACAGAUGUAUUUUACACCAGUCGAAUCUCAGAAGAAUCAAUUUACCAUAAGAAGGAUUCUCCCUCUCCGAAAUAUAUUCGUGAGAAAUACACAGAUACAGUGCUGUAAAGAUGAAGUCCCGGCGUAAAAGUUGAAUUGAAAGUCCUCUCAGUGCAUUAAGCAUGGUUGCAAGAUGCAUCGCAAUGCCAUGAUUUGCCGAGGCGUCCAAUACGUACAAUCUUACAGACUUCCAUAUUGUUUUGUUGCGUGAAUAUUCAUGCUAAUAUAUAUAUCCAGAAUUAUACAUAUUUUCUGUAUACAGCGCAUGUUAAAGAAUUGAUUACUCUAUUUCAAGAAUACACUGAUUAAUGUAUCUGCAAGAGGUGAAACUUAAUUAAUUCGCAUCGAAGAAAACUAAUGGCAAACUCUUGGAUAUACAGGAAAACGUACAAGAUGUGAGAGAAUUUGCUCAAUUUCUAAAUGUGGAGAGCUUGUGAAAGUAGCUGAAAGUAGUAAAAAAAUUAUUAUAACCAACACAAAUGAAAUGAUGUAUUUAUUUUUUAUAACAUUUUGAUACUCUCAAAACACUUAAAAUUUUAUUAUAAUACGGACAAGAAUAUGAUAAAAUGUAUCUUAAUAAAAGAAUAAGCAAAAAAGCUUUACAAGAGCACCAAAAAUACUAUAAUUUGAUAAUUACUUAUGCUGAAAUUACAAAUUAAAUAUGAUUUUAGCAGAUAUGCUGUUUAGUACUAAAUUUGGAAUAUUGAGAAAGCUACUCUACUGGACUGUAAAUUUGGGAAGUAUGUUAUUCAUUGCUAUAUUCAGCUUUAUCUAUCUUCCAUGUAUUCAGUGAAAGAUUCUCCCGUUUUCCAGGUUGUACCAGCAGUGCUCUUCAGUGAUGUUGUUUUGCUUUUCAAUUUUAUAAAGCAAAAGAUGAUUUAUCCUUCUUUGCGACCACUAGUGUUUACUUUUUGUUUCUCAAAUAAUAAAAAUAACUAUUUUAUUCGGUGACAUCUUAUACGAAAAUAAGAACUUGUUGUUUUCGUGUUUGUGUUUAACCAGUUUACGUCUAAAACAUAGAGAGGCAUAAAAACUGAUACGUUAAGAAAUUCGAAAAUGAUGACCAUAAAUUUAAUUUUUGAAAUACUGUUCAAAAUGUUUCAUUAUUUUCAAACAAACGAAACUUCGGGA